rnacentral:misc_RNA from 1 species
GAAAUGCGAUAAUUAAUGUGAAUUGCAGAAUUCAGUGAAUCAUCGAGUCUUUGAACGCACAUUGCGCCCCCUGGUAUUCCGGGGGGCAUGCCUGUCCGAGCGUCAUUGCUGCCCUCAAGCACGGCUUGUGUGUUGGGCUUCCGUCCCUGGCAACGGGGACGGGCCCAAAAGGCAGUGGCGGCACCAUGUCUGGUCCUCGAGCGUAUGGUGCUUUGUCACCCGCUCCCGUAGGUCCAGCUGGCAGCUAGCCUCGCAACCAAUCUUUUUAACCAGGUUGACCUCGGAUCAGGUAGGGAUACCCGCUGAACUUAAGC